AUUUCCCAGGGGAUUAGUGACAGUGGGCAGAGACCUCUGGCGGCAGCCUCCGUGGGCUGCUUGGCCUGGUGGAGCUGCGCGCCGAGGCUUUGAAACAGACCACACCGCUCUGCUUCCGGCCGGGAGACAGAAAGCUGAGGCGCUGCGUCUCCUUUAACCGCCGUGGGCGGGGCGUGGCGACGCGACCCGCGUUGCUAUUGGCGGCGGUUGGGGGGCGCGGAAACUGAACGCGCAGCAACGGCCUACGCCGACUUCUCCGGCGCCUUGGGCGCCCCGGGCCCGCCAUGGCUGCGCCUUGCCCUGAGGACCCCUCACUGGAGAGGCACUUUAAGGGCCACCGAGAUGCAAUUACCUCUGUGGACUUCAGUCUCAACACGAAGCAGCUGGCCAGUGGCUCCAUGGACUCAUGCCUCAUGGUCUGGCACAUGAAGCCCCAGUCACGCGCCUACCGCUUUGCGGGCCACAAGGAUGCUGUCACCUGUGUGAACUUCUCCCCUUCGGGACACCUGCUUGCCUCAGGCUCCCGAGACAAGACUGUCCGGAUCUGGAUACCCAAUGUCAAAGGCGAGUCUACCGUGUUUCGUGCACACACAGCCACAGUGAGGAGCGUCCACUUCUGCAGUGAUGGCCAGUCUCUUGUGACGGCCUCUGACGACAAAACAGUUAAGGUGUGGUCAACUCAUCGCCAGAAAUUCCUGUUCUCCCUAAGCCAGCACAUCAACUGGGUACGCUGCGCCAGGUUCUCCCCUGACGGGCGGCUCAUCGUGUCUGCCAGCGAUGAUAAGACUGUAAAGCUGUGGGACAAGACUAGCCGGGAGUGUGUCCACUCUUACUGUGAGCAUGGCGGCUUUGUCACCUACGUGGACUUCCACCCCAGUGGCACGUGCAUCGCCGCUGCCAGCAUGGACAACACAGUGAAGGUGUGGGACGUGCGGACGCACCGCCUCUUGCAGCACUACCAGCUGCACAGCGCAGCAGUGAAUGCCCUCUCCUUCCACCCAUCUGGAAACUACCUGCUCACGGCCUCCAGCGACUCGACCCUGAAGAUCCUGGACCUCAUGGAGGGCCGGCUGCUCUACACGCUCCAUGGGCAUCAGGGUCCAGCCACCACUGUUGCCUUUUCAAGAACGGGGGAGUAUUUUGCUUCUGGAGGUUCUGAUGAACAAGUGAUGGUUUGGAAGAGUAACUUUGAUGUUGUGGACUAUAGGGAAGUCAUAAAAGUGCACAGGCCUCCAGCCCCACUGGCCACCUCCGGGAAUCUGAAUGUACAAACAAGAUGUGAAGACUGCUGGCCAGAAGUGGAUUUCCCCGUCCCUCCAGGAGGAGGCAGGAGUCAGGAGUCGGUGCAGAGCCAGCUCCAGGAGCCUAUCAGCAUGCCCCAGACGCUGACCAGCACGCUGGAGCACAUCGUGGGCCAGCUGGACGUCCUCACCCAGGCUGGUGUGACCCAGUGAUUGAGUCCUCCUCUCUGGAUGUUCAUGGUCCAUCUGCGCCAGUCUGAAGGACCAGUCUCGGUCCUCUUCAGUGGCAUUUCUAUGCAAAGCAAAGGCCUGGAGGUCGGUCAGCUGAGUGCACGCCCAUGAAGAGGGAUGACUCAGCUUGCUUGGGCAAGACAGUCUCCAUCCUAGAGCAACGGCUGACACUGACGGAAGACAAGCUGAAGCAGUGUCUGGAGAACCAGCAGUUAAUCAUGCAGAGAACAACACCAUGAUCAGGGGAGCAAGAAUCAAGAGCUCGGUCGAUUUUGGGGGGUGGCAGGCCAGGGAUUUGUACUAUGGGACUUGGGUAAAUAAACGAAGGGGAUUUGGCUCUGUGGGAAUCCCAUCUAUCCCUGAGCCCCAGAGGUUAUGCCCUUCUCUCCUCCACCUGCCCUCUGCACCUGGAGGCUCUCCUGGCAGUGGAAGGCCCCCAUAGGCAGGGCCUGCACUUGCAGGAUGGACUGUGUUUGGUUUAAUGUGAAGGAGUCACUUGAAAACGUUUGCUACCUCAGAGUCCUGACAUGCCCUGAGAUCGCCGCUCCCGGCCAGAGGCGGUAGCCCCAAGCCCCCUUACGGAGUUUGUCCCCCUUUCUGCCAUAUGAUUGGCUCUUCCCACCCACAACAGCUUAGCAAUGGCCUGCCCAUGGGAUGGGUGAGCCAGGAGUUUUCUCCAAAUCUGACAAAAGGCCCAGCAUGGGCCCAUCUGAGUCAGGUUUACCCAGGAACAAGCACUCAGGGAGGUGGUGGCUUUGCAGUGGCCUUGACUUCUGCUCCACACCUGUUCACUGGGACUGGUGGCUUCCUCCUCUGUAUGCAUGAGGGUGAAGGAAUCUGAAAUUAAAACGGAUUUGAUGGAGCUUGUCAUAAAA